rnacentral:rRNA from 1 species
AACGAACGCUGGCGGCAGGCCUAACACAUGCAAGUCGAACGCUCGUAGCAAUACGAGAGUGGCAGACGGGUGAGUAACACGUGGGAACCUUCCCUAUGGUUCGGAAUAGCUCAGGGAAACUUGAGGUAAUACCGGAUAAGCCCUUACGGGGAAAGAUUUAUCGCCAUUGGAUGGGCCCGCGUCGGAUUAGCUAGUUGGUGAGGUAACGGCUCACCAAGGCGACGAUCCGUAGCUGGUCUGAGAGGAUGAUCAGCCACACUGGGACUGAGACACGGCCCAGACUCCUACGGGAGGCAGCAGUGGGAAUAUUGGACAAUGGGCGCAAGCCUGAUCCAGCCAUGCCGCGUGAGUGACGAAGGCCUUAGGGUUGUAAAGCUCUUUGGCGGGAAGAUAAUGACGGUACCCGCAGAAUAAGCUCCGGCUAACUUCGUGCCAGCAGCCGCGGUAAU